CGGGCAUUAGCGCAGCCCGGUAGCGCACUAGACUGGGGGUCUAGGGGUCGCAGGUUCGAAUCCUGCAUGCCCGA
rnacentral:tRNA from 1 species